GCCUUCGUGGUGUCGUGGUGAGCACGCUGGACGCGUAUUCGAGAGGUUCGUGGUUCGAAUCCCGGCGAGGGCA
rnacentral:tRNA from 1 species